AAAGUGCGAUAAGCAAUGCGAAUUGCAGAAUUCCGCGAAUCAUCAGAUUCUUGAACGCAAAUGGCGCUGGAGGGAUCUCCUUCCAGCAUGUCUGUUUCAGUGUCUGAAAACUUCCAACAACGGUACUAUUUUUGAAAUAUAAAAUAUACCUAACUUGAUGUGUUUGACUUGAUGCAGCUCUUUUGAGCAGCAAUUCAUUGUCUCACACUAAUUCAUGUAUGCACGGAUCUUUGGAUCCAUCGAAUUGGUCAUCGAUUUAUUCGGUGAUUUCGAUGCGAUAUAACAAUCCAAUUAUCCAUAUAUGUGCAUAGAAAUCACAAUAAUCAAACACUUAAUCUUUUUUGUAUCUGAAAUCAGGCAAGAACACCCGCUGAACUUAA
rnacentral:misc_RNA from 1 species